rnacentral:rRNA from 1 species
UACGUAGGGGGCUAGCAUUGUCCGGAUUUAUUGGGCGUAAAGAGCUCGUAGGCGGUCUGUCGCGUCGGCUGUGAAAACUCGGGGCUCAACCCCGAGCCUGCAGUCGAUACGGGCAGACUAGAGUGCUGUAGGGGAGACUGGAAUUCCUGGUGUAGCGGUGAAAUGCGCAGAUAUCAGGAGGAACACCGGUGGCGAAGGCGGGUCUCUGGGCAGUAACUGACGCUGAGGAGCGAAAGCGUGGGGAGCGAACAGG